rnacentral:rRNA from 1 species
GACCAGCAGAGUAGAGCUGACCCAGACGCUGUGCGCCGAAACCGUCCGUGGCGAGUGAAGAAAAACCUGUUGACCAGAUCCGUGGCGAGGCCUAUUUCUAAAUAUAUUGUGAGUACCUAGCAGAACUGUGCAGAACCAAUCUCUUAGUUAAAAUAAUAUAAUUCAAUCUAUUUUAAUCUAACCAGAACUGCCUCCUGUCACCUGUCAUUUGCAAAGCUGUCACUUGUCAUUUUCUAGCUGCAAGCUGUAACCUGUCGCUUUGAACUUUUAAAAUUUCAAAUCCGAAAAAAACUACCUUUAUUUAAUCGUCCGUAUCUCUGGAACCGUUUGGGCUAGGAACACUACAGAGCCCUUUGUCCGUUCCCCUCCAUUACUCAUUUCUGAUUUCUGUUCUUUUGGCAGUUCAGUUCCCACAGAAAGGCAUAUGUUUCAACAAGCAACAUGUCAGGGAUUCCACUCACUGGGCCUCAUUACGACCCAGGCGUUAAGGGUUAACGCCGUCGGUAACCUUAACGCCUAUUCAGAUUUUAACGGCUGCUCUUAGCAGCCGUUAAAAUCCAUGGCGCUAACCUGCCAUGAUGCUAAUUACGCCACCGUAAUUUUCGGUGGCGUAAUUAGCGCCUUCCCCACUCCCAUUAUGCCCUUUGGGGCAAAAAUGGGAAUGGGGAAGGGAAAAUGAGAAAUGGGGAUUUACGCCCCACUCACCUUGGAAUGGGGCGGUAAAUCCGCCAUCCACCAUGGUGUAAACAUAGUUUACACCAUGGUGGUAAAGUUGGCGCAAUUAGCGCCUGGGUCGUAAUGACCCCCACUGAUUCUAAGUUGACCACGCUCUUCAGCUCACAAUCAGAAUCCCUGCAGCAUCAGGGGGUAGCUGUUGUCAUAUCUCGAUGGAUCAUCCCAUCAACCCAGCAUCGACAAGCAACCACAAUCAUCUACUUGCUCACCACUCUGCGCCACGCUUCGCGUGGCAAGUGGCUAUAUGUGGUCUCUGCUGCAGGCUGGGGUGCUGGAGCUCCCCUUAAGGAAAACAAACUGGAAGAUAGACUCUCCACAAAAAACCACUUGCUCAACACUCCGUGCUGAGCUCCAUGCGGCAAGUGGCUAUAUGUGGUCUCUGUUGCAGGAUGGGCAUGCUGGAGCGAGGACCUCCUUCAGGAAAAUAAACUGGAAGAUAGACUCUCCUACAAACAACCACUGGCUCACCACUCUGCCCUUCACAGUGCUCUUAAUAUCCUUAAUAUCAAAGUUUAAGAAUUCAAGGAAGUGUAGGUAAAUGGCAGGAGUAACUAUGACUCUCAUAAGGUAGCCAAGUGCCUUUUCAUCUAAAUUAGAGACACGCAUGAAUGGAUGAGCAAGAUUCCCACUGUCCUUACCAACUAUUUAGCAGAACCAUAGUCAAGAGAACAGGCUUGUCAGAAUUAGCAGGGAAAGGAGACCCUGUUGAGCUUGAUUCUAAUCGAGCACUGUGAAGGGACGUGAGAGAUGUAGGAUAAGUAGAAGGACCUUACGCCAUCAGCAGAAUACCACUACUAUUGUUUAUUCACGUACCUGGUGAUGCCGGAGGAAAGCUCUCACUUCUGGCUCCCAGCGCCCAGCACCCGCCAUGAGCGACCCACUCUGGGGGCAGGUGAGUAGUUGACUGAGGCAGUACAUCUGUCAAUAGAUAAUGCUGGUGUCCUAAGGUGAGCUCAGUGAGGACAGAAACCUCCAGCGUGGCUGAAGGACAAAAGCUUGCUUGGUCUUGAUUUUAAGUAUGAAAUAGACAGUGAACACGAAGCCUCACAAUCCUUCUGCAUUUUUGUGGUUCAAGCAGGAGGUGUCAGAAAAGUUACCAUAGGGAGAGCUGCUUUGUGGCUGUCAUAGUGACGCUGCUUUUUCAUCCUUCUAUGUUGGUUCUUUAUAUCAUUGUAAAGUGGCUAUAUGUGGUCUCUGUUGCAGGAUGGGCAUGCUGGAGCGAGGACCUCCUUCAGGAAAAUAAACUGGAAGAUAGACUCUCCUACAAACAACCACUGGCUCACCACUCUGCCCCUUCACAGUGCUCUUAAUAUCCUUAAUAUCAAAGUUUAAGAAUUCAAGGAAGUGUAGGUAAAUGGCAGGAGUAACUAUGACUCUCAUAAGGUAGCCAAGUGCCUUUUCAUCUAAUUAGAGACACGCAUGAAUGGAUGAGCAAGAUUCCCACUGUCCUUACCAACUAUUUAGCAGAACCAUAGUCAAGAGAACAGGCUUGUCAGAAUUAGCAGGGAAAGGAGACCCUGUUGAGCUUGAUUCUAAUCGAGCACUGUGAAGGGACGUGAGAGAUGUAGGAUAAGUAGAAGGACCUUACGCCAUCAGCAGAAUACCACUACUAUUGUUUAUUCACGUACCUGGUGAUGCCGGAGGAAAGCUCUCACUUCUGGCUCCCAGCGCCCAGCACCCGCCAUGAGCGACCCACUCUGGGGGCAGGUGAGUAGUUGACUGAGGCAGUACAUCUGUCAAUAGAUAAUGCUGGUGUCCUAAGGUGAGCUCAGUGAGGACAGAAACCUCCAGCGUGGCUGAAGGACAAAAGCUUGCUUGGUCUUGAUUUUAAGUAUGAAAUAGACAGUGAACACGAAGCCUCACAAUCCUUCUGCAUUUUUGUGGUUCAAGCAGGAGGUGUCAGAAAAGUUACCAUAGGGAGAGCUGCUUUGUGGCUGUCAUAGUGACGCUGCUUUUUCAUCCUUCUAUGUUGGUUCUUUAUAUCAUUGUAAAGGAGAAUUCAUCAAGUAUUGGAUUGUUCACCCACUAAUAUGGAACAUGAACUGGGUUUAGACCGUCAUCAGCCACGUUAGUUUUACCCUAUUGAUGAUGUGUUGUUGCAAAGGUAAUCCUGCCUGCUAUAGGAGGAACUGUAGGUUCAGACUUUGGUGUAUGUGUUUGGCUGAGGAGCCAAUGGUGCAAAGCUACCAUCUGUGGGAUUGUGACUGAAAGCCUCUAAGUCAGAAUCCCCCCUGAAAUGUAACAAUACCACAGCACUGUUGACCCUCGGUUGGCCCGGAUAGCCGUCUUCUGGGCAGGUGCAUAGAGCCGAUUGCCUUGGGACUCGAUGUGGACAGAAGAUGGCCACCUCUCUCACCCGUAGUGCACCACAUGUUUGUGGAGAACAUGGUGCUAAAUCAUUCAUAGAAGACCUGAUUAUGUGCCAGGGUUUGUAUGUAGCAGAGCAGCUACCUCGCUGCAAUCUAUUGAAAAUCAUCCGCUGAGCCAAGCUG